GAUGAAGAACGCAGCGAAAUGCGAUAAGUAAUGUGAAUUGCAGAAUUCAGUGAAUCAUCGAAUCUUUGAACGCACAUUGCGCCCGCCAGUAUUCUGGCGGGCAUGCCUGUUCGAGCGUCAUUACAACCCUCAGGCCCCCGGGCCUGGCGUUGGGGAUCGGCGGAGCCCCCCGUGGCACACGCCGUCCCCCAAAUACAGUGGCGGUCCCGCCGCAGCUUCCAUCGCGUAGUAGCUAACACCUCGCGACUGGAGAGCGGCGCGGCCACGCCGUAAAACACCCAACUCUUCUGAAGUUGACCUCGAAUCAGGUAGGAAUACCCGCUGAACUUAAGCAUAUCAAUAAGCGGAGGA
rnacentral:misc_RNA from 1 species